rnacentral:rRNA from 1 species
AAAGUCUGAUGGAGCAACGCCGCGUGAGUGAUGAAGGUUUUCGGAUCGUAAAACUCUGUUGUAAGGGAAGAACCAGUACGUCAGGCAAUGGACGUACCUUGACGGUACCUUAUUAGAAAGCCACGGCUAACUACGUGCCAGCAGCCGCGGUAAUACGUAGGGGGCUAGCGUUAUCCGGAUUUACUGGGCGUAAAGGGUGCGUAGGUGGUUUCUUAAGUCAGGAGUGAAAGGCUACGGCUCAACCGUAGUAAGCUCUUGAAACUGGGAAACUUGAGUGCAGGAGAGGAAAGUGGAAUUCCUAGUGUAGCGGUGAAAUGCGUAGAUAUUAGGAGGAACACCAGUAGCGAAGGCGGCUUUCUGGACUGUAACUGACACUGAGGCACGAAAGCGUGGGGAGCAAACA